rnacentral:lncRNA from 1 species
AGGGAGAGGAGAGAGGGGCGCGCAACUGCGGACGGGGAAUGACGGAAGUCUGGAGCUAAAAUCGCGGGAUUUGUUUUUUUGUGACCAUGGUUUCUGCGAUUGUGCGGGGAUGGGACGAGGUGUGCGGGAAUUGGGAUGGGCGGGGUGACGGACGGACCGACGGACGACGUAAGUACCAAACUCGAAAUUAAAUAGCAGUAAAAAUUGUCUAGUAAUGACACAGAAUUAAACUCCCAAACAAGUCGCGAAUUUCGAAAGGGCCGAGCGAAGUUAUUUACGGGCCUGGGCCUCUGACUUACACCUCCGUUGAGAUGAAAAGUGGGCUUUCAAACUAGGCCCAAGUUUAGUCUUGCAUUUAAACUCUGAACAUGACAAAUCAGAUGUACACAUCAUCUAAACCUAUCUAAAAAAUACGGACCGUUUCUUUCACCACGCGUUUUUGUCGUCUGUCAAGCUUUCUUUCCUCGCCUCGCCCGAUCCCUCGCCCACGCCUCACGCACUAAGCAAGACACGCACGCGCUUGAGCAGGAGCCUGACGCCGCAGCCGGGGACAGGGCCACCUCGAACCUGGCCAGCACGAGCGCCAGCAGCACACGAUCGAAAGUCCAACAUGAUGCAUUGCAUGUAUGACCACUAUAUAUCGAUCAGUUAAAUUACCUGUUUCAUCCUCUGGAGGGAAGAGGAGUCGGCUGGUGUCCUACUAAGCCGGCUGGCCCAUUACCUAUACCGAAUCUAUCCAUAUCUAUAUCUAUAUACCAAUCUAAAAAGUACGGACCGUUUCACCUUUUUUCCUUCCUUUUUUUCGUUAAGCCCCCGAGACCCAUCUCGUCCGCCCGCAUGCAAACCACUCCUUCGUCCGCUUCAGACAGUCGAGCUCCCCUGCAGCAUAUGGUCCAGCAUGCGAUGCCUCAUUCCAUCCGAGAGCUGGCGGCUCUGGCCUACAACCUCCAUCUUGUUAGACACCGUUUAAUUUUAGAGAAAACAAGGGAAUCGGUUCGUUCUCUCAGCGCUCAUCCCCGGUGUGUUGAUCUGGGCCAACGGGAGCUGCUACGACAACGCGCGCUAAGGCGGUUCAGCCGUGAUUAUGGGGGAUGAUUGAGGAGGGGAAAAGAAAGGGAAGGGCCGUGGGAUAUGGUUCAGAGCACCUGGACGGGUCACGGGCCGAGGAGGCAUCGUCGAGGGCGGAGAUUGCGGCGGCCGGCGCGUGUGUGUGCUGCUUUUGGCACGAGAAGGAAGACGGGCACGAGCGCUCGUGCGGGCAGGGGCUGAGCGCUCUCGAGGAAGUUGGCCGAAGAGGGAGAACGGGUACGUGUGGCCUAAGAGGUAAAAAGGAAAAAGUAAAAAAAAAAAAGACCCAAAAGUGACUUGCCUGGCCGUGGCAGCGCACGGGCAUUCUGCUAGUUCAGUCAUAUAUUUCUUCAAGAUGGACGGAAUGAACAUUUCCGAUCCGCAUGCUCAGAAAAGACGAAAGGCUGGCUUUAAUUUGGGAGAUGGAACUCAUUACAUGGUUAAUUGAAAGAAAAAUCAGCAAGAAAAAAAGAGGUGGGCAAUGGACACCACAUCCCGUACAUGAACUUCAUCCAUUGGCGGGUUCACGAUGAACUGGCCGGGGCAAGCCUAAGAUCGACGCCGACCAGCGCCUCCCGCGCAACACACGACGAACUCGCGGCCACCAUCCUCAGAUCUGUGCGAGAGGCAUAAAAUCCUGUGCCCCAGCACACGAGCCAGCCCCGCCGCAGCAAGCUGACGAGGAAGAAGGCCGCUGCUGCGCCCCGGAGCCGCCACUCCGGCUUCCCACGCCGGAGAUCCAGCCGCCACCGCCCAGAUCGACGCCAACCGGUAAUGCGCGCCUCGCGUGAAACCCCGCACCACCUUCGGUAGUGGGGCCCGCCGCCGCCACGGCAAGGCCGGUGGCAACGGCGGCAAGGGGAGAUCGAGACGGGGGAGUUGGGCGUCGACGGGGAAUCGCCCCCGGUGUCGCCUGGGUGCGACACGGGAGGCCUAGACAAUGGCUGGGAUAAUGAAUGACAUUGGCGGAGCUACCGCCGAGCCACCCCGGGCAGUUGCCCAGGCUCCACAGGUGGACUCCCUUUAAAUUGAAGUAAGGAUGCUGAUUAAAUUAGGAAUUUGUACGGGCAAACUUAGUUUAGAGGAAAUGGCACACAGUCUGCCCAGGCUGCAAUAAUCGGCUAGCUCCUGCACUGAUGAAUGAUUACCACCCUACAUUAUGAAAAAAAGUGUCGUGGUAACAAUUACCAGGCUCGUAAGUACAUGUGCACCUCGGUUGUAACUUGUAACUGGUAACUUAUUUGACACAAAAUUAAACUCCCGAACAGGCCGCGAAUUUUGGAAGGGUCGAGCGAAGUUAUUUACGGGCCUGGGCCUGUAAUUUACACCUCUGUCGAGAUGAAAAGUGGGCUUCCAAACUGGGCCCAAAUUUAGUCUGACAUUUAAACUGUGAAUAUGAUAAAUCAGAUGUACAUCCUUGAGUCAUUUCUUCAACAUGGACGGAAUGAACAUAUCCGAUCCUCACGCGAAGGAAAGACGAAAACCCGGCUUUAAUUUGGGAGAUGCAACUCAUUACAUGGUUAAUUCAAAGAAAUCAUCAAGAAAAAAAAAAGAGGUGGGCAAUGGACACCACAUCCCGUACAUG